GCCUCGGUGGUGUAGUGGUUAGAGCACGCGUCACCGGAUAGGACGAAACUCGGGAUCGAUUCCCGCCUGAGGCA